GUUUAUAACCGCCCCGGCGGUGGGAAAGGGGCGGGGCCGCUCCCACCCCCGCCAAUGGGAGACGGUCGGGCCCGCGCCGGGGCACCGGGCACCGCCGGGACCGGCCCGCACCCCCCACCGGCACCCCGCGGGGCAGCGCGGCUGCGGCCGGCGGCGCGGAGCAGGGCGGGACGCCGCGAAGCCUGCGGCUCGGCUCGGCGCGGCUCGGGACAUCGUGCCGCCUAGCUCAGUUCAGCACAGCUUGACGCAGCAUGGCUUGGCACAGCUCAGCCCAGCUUGGUUUGGCCUGGCCCGGCUUGGUGCCUGGAGCAGGCAGCGUCCUGCCACCCUGCUCCCCAGCGUCACUCUGGGGCUGCGGCGCAGCAAGCCGUGCUGGAAGCUCAGCUCCUGGCUUGCCCCGGCCGGUGCCGCGCAGCUCGAGGGAAGCCGUGCCGCGCAGCAUCGUACGCCAUGUCCGUGCCACCUCCGGCGAGUGCUGGCAGGAGCUCCCUGCGCUGCCCCGGCCAGGGGGACAAAGUCCUCUCCUUUCCAGGUUUAUUACACAGGGUAAUUGCUGCCGCUGGGCUCGCUUUAUUAAGCGCCUGCUUUAAUAUUUCACCAGGUCUCUGUACUCGGUGAUCCUUUGCGCGUCCCUGCUGCGCAGGGCCGCAGGCUCUCGCCACGGGCCUGACCCUCGGUGCCCUCUGCGUGGAGGGUGAGAUGCGCGCCAGGAUCGACACUGAUCUCCGAUGCCGGAGGAGCCGGGCUCUGCCAGCCGGACUGCCGUCGGUGCCGGCUGCCCCUGCCAGACCCCACGAGCCCUGGCACGGUGGUGGCAAUGGCAGCAGGUGCCUGCACCAUCCUUCUUGGAAACACCUCCCCGGUACUGGCGGAAAAACACAUUUCAUCAGCGGCAACGGCGGCGGCAGCGCUGCAGAAGUGCUGCGUCAAACAGGCUGGGGUGGUUUUGCCGGGGUGUGGUGGUGGGACCUGGCUGGGUUCACAGCCCUGCUCUUGCAGGCAGGGGAAUGCCGGGAAUGCCGGUGAGGUAAAGGAGGAGGAGGGAUGUUCCCGACAGCGACAGCGUGGCCACAGGCUCUCCCGCGGGAAUCCGCUCGCUUGCGGCACUGGGCUACUGAACUCAGUGAAAGCGAUGGAGGUGGCCACAAGGCAGGGCCUCGGGGGACUCGGGCUCUAAAGAGGACCCUGUUAAAAUUCCCCAUCCCAUCACUUCACCAGGGCUUGCAAAAUGCCCUUGGAGAAACGUUGUUUUCCAAAGACACGGUAUCCAGAGGCAGCAUCCGUCACCGCAUGGGCCAAGCCAGGGCUGCCGGGGCGUGCAAGGGAGCGGGCUGAGGGAUACGGUGUUUUACAGAGACAGCCAGAACAUAGAGCCCAUCCCAACACUGGUGUUUCAGCAAGGGCUGCUGUGACCAUUCCCAAAUUACAACGUGAAUUCACACAUCUCCUUGAGAGCUGGGUUGGGUGUCUGUUCAUCCAUCCCUUCCAGAGCUCCUCACGCAUGGUCUCAGGAUGCCCUUCUUGUGGGACACCUCAAGACGGGUUGUAGAUAGCCAUGGUGUGCUCUGUUGGCCAGUCAGGGCUUUCCAUGGAUGCUCUCCCCAGGAGGUCUGCUGGGGCGGGGCUGGACGACCAGCACCCUUUGCCAGCCUUGGCCAUUCCCCAGCUCUCCUCAAAAAAGCCGGCGUGUGGAUAGGCUGACCUUGGUGGCUAUUCCCUUGAAGACAGUGCCUGGCCUUGUUCAUCUUCCCGUUGCUCAACACCGGAGGGUGCCUCCCAGCCACGCUGUGCUGUUAGGAAACGCUGGUGAUAGCCCCAUUACCUUUUGACCUACUCAAGCUCUUCCGUACCCGUUCUGCUAAUUACAGCUCACUUUUUUCAGGGGAAGUGGGGCUGGUUCCACCGCAGCCACCUCCCACACCUUCUGGGGCUGCUCAUGCAGAUCCCUGGCAGGGGGACACCACAUCUUCCUAGUGCUCCCCUUGCCCCAGGCUGUUCCUCCAGCUUGGUGGAGCCUCCCAUGACUAACAGGUUUUGAGAUAAUUGUUCCACUCCCUAAUCUCAUCUGCAGAAGAUUCAUGACAUUGUUUUUGAAGUGCCAUGAGCCAUUUCCAGAGGCUGUAAGCCUAUGAGGGAUGUGAUUCAUCCACGCUGCUCCCACAGGUACUUAAUCUUCUCCAAAACAGCAAGUCCUUCUUCCACAGCUAUUACCUCCUUAGGAAACACCAGCCAGGUGAGCACCUAACAGGGCACUUUUGUCUGUUCAGCGCUGAUGGAUGCUUGUGCCAGCACUUCCUUCCUCGCAGAGGCCAUGGGGUAUAGUCCUUCCCUGGGAGCAGUUGUCCCAGGAGAGGCAACGGUGGGGCUGGGACCCCCUUGGCUGUCGUUUGUGGGCUGGGUACCUACCACGGACCAUCAAGCCCACAGGAAAGGGGAUGCUGGAAAUGUCCCUCGCUAACUAAAGCAGAUGGGGCUCCUUCUCUCCCACACCGUGUCCUCAAAGAGCCCUUGGGAUGGACGUGGGUCCAUCCUUCUUCGCAGUGAAGAUGUGGGACCCUGGAGCCCAUUGGCGUCUGGGGCCAGAGACAGUUCAGGGGUGACAAAGGCCGUUUGCACUGCCUGGAAUUAACUCUCAUUUUGACCCAAAGCGUCUUGCAGAGGACAGUGAUUAAUUACUCCCAGCAUCAACUAUUUGUGUCCUACCACUGAACUUGUGCUGUUGUACUGGUUCUGGUUGGACUUUGCUGCCGGAGCGGGAGCUCUCUGUUACCCUGGCUUUCUUCUUCGGGGAGGGCAGAUCCUCGGGUGGCUGCGAUUCAGCUAAGCCAGGCUCAGCUCCAGGAAGCCUUUCGUGCACCCAACACUUUAAUGUCCCCAUGAUCCUUCCCCAGGCCCAGGGCAUGGAAACGGGGUCUACUAAAGCCCAGCCUGGAGGCACUUCCCAUGGCAUGGCCAACCUGAGCCACAGCUGCCCAAGGAGCCACCUUAACUCCUUGUGCUGGGAUCUUCUCCUCCUUCUCUCCCCAGGACUUUCCAUCCCUUGUUUCCAACUUUGGGACAUGACCGAGGACUCUUUUUUUGGGCUUUCCUUACGUUUUGCUGCUGUAAAACACAGGUAACUGUUUGUGCCCAUCAUCCCGUGCAUCUGACGCCACGUUGGUGGGAUCGGUCUGAGUCCCAGGCUUUGAUCCUCCAUCUGCGGGGGGUUUCCACGCACCUCGGCUGGAUGGUGGGCACAGCCCAAAUGUGUCCCCAGCUCCUGGCAGGACCUCUCUGCUCCCAGGGUGCUGCGGCCAGAGCACCUCCUUCGGGGAGUACCAGGGCUGCUCCCCAGGACCACGUUGCUGGCAGCAUGGAGCACCAGCUGAGCGCUGACCCCAGAUCUGGCUCUGCAAAUCCCUUCGUCUUUGGAAAAUUCCUCCCUCCGACUUGUUUUCAGGUUGCGCAGGAGCCCCAGGUGUUUACAAAACACAGCUCCGCUUCCAGCCGCAUUCAUGGCUUCGGGAGAGGUUUCACCUUCUAGAAAGCCGCUCCCCAGCCUGACCCUGAGCUUUUCCGCCCCGGUGAGGACCCUGUGUCGCUGUGCCCGCUCGCCCACGCAGCCUUGGCAGCCCCUUCGCCAGCCGGGCUUUCUGCACCACGGUUCUUCAAACAAGAGCUGCUUUUGGGCUGCAGGGACCUUGCUCCUUCGGUGUGGCUGGAAAGCGUCGGUAACGCUCCCAGUUGCUCCCAGCUCCGCUAAUGCUUGGUACUCUGCAUCCCCCAUGUCCUCGGGCAUGCGUGGUACCCGUGCCAGGCUUGCUUUGCCAGCCCAGCAUCAUCCUCCCAUCUCCCAUCUCUCCCGUGCUCAUCACAGGGAAUCUACCUCGAUAGUAGGGUGAUGGGUACAGGGCAAACGUGGCUCCCCCCCGGCCACGAGACAGAUCCCAGGGGAAUCCAGCUGCGCCACGCUCCAGGUGACAUCUUGCCGCCUCUGCCCCCAGGGGAGAGGGCAGUAGGUCACGGCAGCUGUGACCUGGUUCCUGUCCCACGCCUCCAUCCUGCUGGGGAAGGUGAUUGCAGAGCAGAGCGUGUCGCCAGCCCCAGGUUGCUCAAGAGGAUCGUGGCCAGGAGGUAGAGGAGUCGUCCUCCGGCUGAGGCAGCAGGAGGAAUCUGGGGGGGGACACAAGCGAUCAUGAUGCUCCUGGAAGGUGGCCAGGGCACACCGGCACUCGCAAGAAGUGCUCUGGAUGGCUCCGACCUGAGAACAAAGGUGAGGUUGUGCUGUUCCUGGUGGGAAUUGUGCUUCUCACGCAAGCUGGCGGGGCUUCGCAGCAAUCGCAAGGCCAGGACCGCGGGUGGCAUCACCCUGAGCUCGGGGACGGCAGCGGGGAUGUGCCCACGCGGCAUGAGGCUGGAACCGACCUCAGAGUGUGGCAGCAAAGAGGCCCCCGCGCUGGGACAGUCCUGUGGAAAGGGCUGGUGGGGUGGGAUGGAGGAGGCAGGGGAUGGAGGAGGCAGGGGAUGGAGGAGGCAGGGGACAUCUUCCAGCACAGGCUCUGUAAGGGGUGGGAGCAGGUCUCCACCGCCAAACUGCUGCAGAAGAGGGUAAAUGUGACAGCAAGCGGAGCCGGGCUUGUCCCCGCUGUCCUCUGCUCACCCCCCGUCCCUGGAAGGGGGCCAGGGCGAGAUGGGGGCCAGGGACGAGCGCUGGAGAGACGGCCGAGCAUGGGGGGACAGGAGCACGUCCCCGCCAGCCAGACAAACGGCCGGGACCAAGGACGCGGCUGU